GUCUACGGCCAUGCCACCCUGAAUAUGCCCAAUCUCGUCUGAUCUUGGAAGCCAAGCAGGGUCGGGCCUGGUUAGUACUUGGAUGGGAGACCACCUAGGAAGACCAGGUGCUGUAGGCG
rnacentral:rRNA from 1 species